rnacentral:rRNA from 1 species
GGGUUGUGAGGUUAAGCGACUAAGCGUACACGGUGGAUGCCCUGGCAGUCAGAGGCGAUGAAGGACGUGCUAAUCUGCGAUAAGCGUCGGUAAGGUGAUAUGAACCGUUAUAACCGGCGAUUUCCGAAUGGGGAAACCCAGUGUGUUUCGACACACUAUCAUUAACUGAAUCCAUAGGUUAAUGAGGCGAACCGGGGGAACUGAAACAUCUAAGUACCCCGAGGAAAAGAAAUCAACCGAGAUUCCCCCAGUAGCGGCGAGCGAACGGGGAGCAGCCCAGAGCCUGAAUCAGUGUGUGUGUUAGUGGAAGCGUCUGGAAAGGCGCGCGAUACAGGGUGACAGCCCCGUACACAAAAAUGCACAUGCUGUGAGCUCGAUGAGUAGGGCGGGACACGUGGUAUCCUGUCUGAAUAUGGGGGGACCAUCCUCCAAGGCUAAAUACUCCUGACUGACCGAUAGUGAACCAGUACCGUGAGGGAAAGGCGAAAAGAACCCCGGCGAGGGGAGUGAAAAAGAACCUGAAACCGUGUACGUACAAGCAGUGGGAGCCUCUUUAUGGGGUGACUGCGUACCUUUUGUAUAAUGGGUCAGCGACUUAUAUUCUGUAGCAAGGUUAACCGAAUAGGGGAGCCGAAGGGAAACCGAGUCUUAACUGGGCGUUAAGUUGCAGGGUAUAGACCCGAAACCCGGUGAUCUAGCCAUGGGCAGGUUGAAGGUUGGGUAACACUAACUGGAGGACCGAACCGACUAAUGUUGAAAAAUUAGCGGAUGACUUGUGGCUGGGGGUGAAAGGCCAAUCAAACCGGGAGAUAGCUGGUUCUCCCCGAAAGCUAUUUAGGUAGCGCCUCGUGAAUUCAUCUCCGGGGGUAGAGCACUGUUUCGGCAAGGGGGUCAUCCCGACUUACCAACCCGAUGCAAACUGCGAAUACCGGAGAAUGUUAUCACGGGAGACACACGGCGGGUGCUAACGUCCGUCGUGAAGAGGGAAACAACCCAGACCGCCAGCUAAGGUCCCAAAGUCAUGGUUAAGUGGGAAACGAUGUGGGAAGGCCCAGACAGCCAGGAUGUUGGCUUAGAAGCAGCCAUCAUUUAAAGAAAGCGUAAUAGCUCACUGGUCGAGUCGGCCUGCGCGGAAGAUGUAACGGGGCUAAACCAUGCACCGAAGCUGCGGCAGCGACGCUUAUGCGUUGUUGGGUAGGGGAGCGUUCUGUAAGCCUGUGAAGGUGUGCUGUGAGGCAUGCUGGAGGUAUCAGAAGUGCGAAUGCUGACAUAAGUAACGAUAAAGCGGGUGAAAAGCCCGCUCGCCGGAAGACCAAGGGUUCCUGUCCAACGUUAAUCGGGGCAGGGUGAGUCGACCCCUAAGGCGAGGCCGAAAGGCGUAGUCGAUGGGAAACAGGUUAAUAUUCCUGUACUUGGUGUUACUGCGAAGGGGGGACGGAGAAGGCUAUGUUGGCCGGGCGACGGUUGUCCCGGUUUAAGCGUGUAGGCUGGUUUUCCAGGCAAAUCCGGAAAAUCAAGGCUGAGGCGUGAUGACGAGGCACUACGGUGCUGAAGCAACAAAUGCCCUGCUUCCAGGAAAAGCCUCUAAGCAUCAGGUAACAUCAAAUCGUACCCCAAACCGACACAGGUGGUCAGGUAGAGAAUACCAAGGCGCUUGAGAGAACUCGGGUGAAGGAACUAGGCAAAAUGGUGCCGUAACUUCGGGAGAAGGCACGCUGAUAUGUAGGUGAAGUCCCUCGCGGAUGGAGCUGAAAUCAGUCGAAGAUACCAGCUGGCUGCAACUGUUUAUUAAAAACACAGCACUGUGCAAACACGAAAGUGGACGUAUACGGUGUGACGCCUGCCCGGUGCCGGAAGGUUAAUUGAUGGGGUCAGCGCAAGCGAAGCUCUUGAUCGAAGCCCCGGUAAACGGCGGCCGUAACUAUAACGGUCCUAAGGUAGCGAAAUUCCUUGUCGGGUAAGUUCCGACCUGCACGAAUGGCGUAAUGAUGGCCAGGCUGUCUCCACCCGAGACUCAGUGAAAUUGAACUCGCUGUGAAGAUGCAGUGUACCCGCGGCAAGACGGAAAGACCCCGUGAACCUUUACUAUAGCUUGACACUGAACAUUGAGCCUUGAUGUGUAGGAUAGGUGGGAGGCUUUGAAGUGUGGACGCCAGUCUGCAUGGAGCCGACCUUGAAAUACCACCCUUUAAUGUUUGAUGUUCUAACGUUGACCCGUGAUCCGGGUUGCGGACAGUGUCUGGUGGGUAGUUUGACUGGGGCGGUCUCCUCCUAAAGAGUAACGGAGGAGCACGAAGGUUGGCUAAUCCUGGUCGGACAUCAGGAGGUUAGUGCAAUGGCAUAAGCCAGCUUGACUGCGAGCGUGACGGCGCGAGCAGGUGCGAAAGCAGGUCAUAGUGAUCCGGUGGUUCUGAAUGGAAGGGCCAUCGCUCAACGGAUAAAAGGUACUCCGGGGAUAACAGGCUGAUACCGCCCAAGAGUUCAUAUCGACGGCGGUGUUUGGCACCUCGAUGUCGGCUCAUCACAUCCUGGGGCUGAAGUAGGUCCCAAGGGUAUGGCUGUUCGCCAUUUAAAGUGGUACGCGAGCUGGGUUUAGAACGUCGUGAGACAGUUCGGUCCCUAUCUGCCGUGGGCGCUGGAGAACUGAGGGGGGCUGCUCCUAGUACGAGAGGACCGGAGUGGACGCAUCACUGGUGUUCGGGUUGUCAUGCCAAUGGCACUGCCCGGUAGCUAAAUGCGGAAGAGAUAAGUGCUGAAAGCAUCUAAGCACGAAACUUGCCCCGAGAUGAGUUCUCCCUGACCCUUUAAGGGUCCUGAAGGAACGUUGAAGACGACGACGUUGAUAGGCCGGGUGUGUAAGCGCAGCGAUGCGUUGAGCUAACCGGUACUAAUGAACCGUGAGGCUUAACCUUACAACGCCGAAGCUGUU